rnacentral:rRNA from 1 species
GACGAACGCUGGCGGCGUGCUUAACACAUGCAAGUCGAACGGAAAGGCCCUGCUUUUGUGGGGUGCUCGAGUGGCGAACGGGUGAGUAACACGUGAGUAACCUGCCCUUGACUUUGGGAUAACUUCAGGAAACUGGGGCUAAUACCGGAUAGGAGCUCCUGCUGCAUGGUGGGGGUUGGAAAGUUUCGGCGGUUGGGGAUGGACUCGCGGCUUAUCAGCUUGUUGGUGGGGUAGUGGCUUACCAAGGCUUUGACGGGUAGCCGGCCUGAGAGGGUGACCGGCCACAUUGGGACUGAGAUACGGCCCAGACUCCUACGGGAGGCAGCAGUGGGGAAUAUUGCACAAUGGGCGGAAGCCUGAUGCAGCAACGCCGCGUGCGGGAUGACGGCCUUCGGGUUGUAAACCGCUUUCGCCUGUGACGAAGCGUGAGUGACGGUAAUGGGUAAAGAAGCACCGGCUAACUACGUGCCAGCAGCCGCGGUGAUAUGUAGGGUGCGAGCGUUGUCCGGAUUUAUUGGGCGUAAAGGGCUCGUAGGUGGUUGAUCGCGUCGGAAGUGUAAUCUUGGGGCUUAACCCUGAGCGUGCUUUCGAUACGGGUUGACUUGAGGAAGGUAGGGGAGAAUGGAAUUCCUGGUGGAGCGGUGGAAUGCGCAGAUAUCAGGAGGAACACCAGUGGCGAAGGCGGUUCUCUGGGCCUUUCCUGACGCUGAGGAGCGAAAGCGUGGGGAGCGAACAGGCUUAGAUACCCUGGUAGUCCACGCUGUAAACGGUGGGUACUAGGUGUGGGGUCCAUUCCACGGGUUCCGUGCCGUAGCUAACGCUUUAAGUACCCCGCCUGGGGAGUACGGCCGCAAGGCUAAAACUCAAAGGAAUUGACGGGGCCCCGCACAAGCGGCGGAGCAUGCGGAUUAAUUCGAUGCAACGCGUAGAACCUUACCUGGGUUUGACAUGGAUCGGGAGUGCUCAGAGAUGGGUGUGCCUCUUUUGGGGUCGGUUCACAGGUGGUGCAUGGCUGUCGUCAGCUCGUGUCGUGAGAUGUUGGGUUAAGUCCCGCAACGAGCGCAACCCUUGUUCACUGUUGCCAGCACGUUAUGGUGGGGACUCAGUGGAGACCGCCGGGGUCAACUCGGAGGAAGGUGGGGAUGACGUCAAGCCAUCAUGCCCCUUAUGUCCAGGGCUUCACGCAUGCUACAAUGGCUGGUACAGAGAGUGGCGAGCCUGUGAGGGUGAGCGAAUCUCGGAAAGCCGGUCUCAGUUCGGAUUGGGGUCUGCAACUCGACCUCAUGAAGUCGGAGUCGCUAGUAAUCGCAGAUCAGCAACGCUGCGGUGAAUACGUUCCCGGGGCU